CUGGAGUGGGGAGGUGACGGGGACGGGGGGGGGCGAGAGGGUGUUGGUGCCACUAAACACAGACACCGAGCUGAUCCGUUGUCAGCUUACAGCUGGAUCCCAAUCGGUCUCUGAGCAUGGAGAAGCAGGCAUGUAUGGAGGCACUCUUUUCCUUUAACAGCAGUCAACAGUGUGAGCAGACACACACACACGCAGUGACGUAAAUGCGGUUACCCUUUUGGCCGAAGUCAAAGCACCAACUUAUCCUGUUGUUAUAUCCUGUUAAAGGCUACCGUAAUGUCCGCCCGGCUGCAUCUGCGCACACCCCCGUCAAAUGGUGUAUUAGACGUCGAAUACGGUUUCAUAAUGAUAGGUCAGACGGCACGAUGCACGAUUGUAUUCACCAAUGGAAUCAUUCGUAUUCCUUAAGGUGAUGUAAAGAAGAAAUGUUUGAAUGCCUCUAAUCAGUCUCAGCAAAACAUUCCACACCGAGCUGCGUUGUGAUAUUGAGAACCCUCCAGAAUAUUCUUAUGUUAACCCCUUUGUCGCACCUCUGCCCACCCAGACCACACACACACACACGCACGCGCACACAUCUUACCAAGACCUAGAGAAACUGUGUCACAUCUUCAGCAUCCAUGUUGAAACUCCCGAUACCACCUCAAAGAACCUAGAAAAAACAACAGACAAACACACACACCGCGCACACACACAUGCACACACCCAGACGGGCAGAUGAAAACAAAACUAGGAAGGAGGAAGAGGAGGAGGAAGUCGAGGUUGUCCGAAACCACUGUGGCGAUUUCGGUUGAAAAAAGAAAACUCGAUGACUGUGGGCUCCUCGGUUAUCUCAGCUUCCGUUUCUCCUGACAUGAAAAAGUGACGUAGCAACUAAUCCAAAAUCUCUCUCUGCCUCUCUCUUUACCGCUCUCUGUCUCUCUCCCCGUCUCGCUCUCUCUCUCCCUCCCUCCCUCUCUGCUGUCCUCUCAAACACACGCACUCUCCAUUUUUCAUCUUGUUGCAACAGAACUGCCUUUAGUCUGCUACUAGAAGCUAACACACACACACACACAAAGCAGAACCCGCACAAAUGCAUGUGUAUGUGCGCAUGUCUGCAUGUACACGCACACACACACACGCAGGCUAUUCCUCGUCCACCGACUGUGACGCAGCACUUAAUUCUCUGUGCUUUCGCACCACGGUUGUGGCUCUCACGACGACAACUUCUUCACCAAGAUGGAACACACAGGAGCUAGCUAGCCCGCACGCACGGCAAGUGAGCAUGAGCAGACUGCAGGGGCUGUGGGGAGAUGGGAGGAAAACACCUUUUCUGUUCCUGAGUUAGCAAAAAGCCCACGGCUUCAUUUCACAGGACUGAGGAGAAAGGAGAGCAUCGGCAAAAGAAUCAGCUUUCACCCUUGAGCUAUAUGGGAAAUUAAGCCCUCAGAAGACUGCGGAUGGGUCGGCACGUGUUCCAGCACUGCAUGACAAAAAAGAAGAGCUUCAUCCCCGUCAGGUCCUGAGGAUAUCACAGGCGUUAUUUCAUGACAAACAUAUUACAGUGAUUCAAAUGUUUCCUUUAGGCUUCAGAUUAGUAGUUUCUGGCAUCACAGUGCUGUAUGGAGUCAGAUAAAUUAAAUGUGUUCAGAUUUAAAUGUGACAUUUUCAUGUUCCCUCUGUCGGGUUGCAUUAAUAAAGACUUUCCAAUAACUUCAUGCACGGUAAAAGAUCCAAGCCUUAAGAAAUACUCCCCCCCUGUGAUGGGUAGCGGUGUUGCAUGUUGGAGGGUUUGUUUACAUCAGGAAUAAAAAGUGCGUAUGACAUAGAAACCUCUGGAUGGAUGGAGCCGAGUCCAGGUAUCGGCCCAUGAAGCACACGCACUUAAGCUUUACAAACUGUACAAAACAGGGGGAAGAAAAAUCAACCAGAGCGGAUUUUCUUUAAACUAAGCUAUUUGAAGGCAAUCUAUUUCUGACAAUGCACGAUGGGAAAAACAAUCUCAGAUGAUUUUAACUUUAGGUCCAUAGCCAACAAAAUACUGUUGAAUUAAGUCCUUACUUAUUUUACAUUUCUUCACUAAUGUUACGGUUUGAAUACAGUAUGCUUGGCUGGGAAGGGUAUUAACCAGAUACAGCAUGACGCACUCUGAAAGAUGCAAUAGUGACACAAUCAUUUAAAUUUCUUGAAAAGGUAACAACAACAAAAAAUGUUUCCUUACAAAUGCUUCCUUUUUUUAAAAACUGAAUACUAGUUAAAACGAAUUUCCCUCCCUCUACAACGUAUUCUACGAACUUAUACUGCAACUUACAAUGUUAACCUUCAAAGGGAUAUAACAAGUUUAAUAAACUGCAUUCAAAUAUACAAUCAAAUCAAAUAAUAGACAAGACAACAGCUACAACAUAAGCGAAAUGAUUGCGCAGUUCUGCGUGGAUGUAGAGACCACUCACUCCUGAGGUAAAUUGAAGUGCGCAACAUCCUCCUGCAGGAACACCUCUCCAUCCCACCCUCCUCCGCUGCCCCGGCGCUGGGAAAUCAGGCAUAAAUCAGCUCAGUCAUGUUUUAUAAGGAAACAGCUGUGAUCAAAUAUCCUGCUUAUUUCCGGAUGACGUCGGAAACAACGCUGGGAAUUGCGCACUAGCCUAGAU
ensembl:lncRNA